CCUACGGGUGGCAGCAGUGGGGAAUAUUGGACAAUGGGCGAAAGCCUGAUCCAGCCAUGCCGCGUGUGUGAAGAAGGCCUUCGGGUUGUAAAGCACUUUCAGUGGGGAAGAAAGCCUUAGGGCUAAUACCCUCGAGGAAGGACAUCACCCACAGAAGAAGCACCGGCUAACUCCGUGCCAGCAGCCGCGGUAAUACGGAGGGUGCGAGCGUUAAUCGGAAUUACUGGGCGUAAAGCGCGCGUAGGCGGUCUGAUAAGCCGGUUGUGAAAGCCCCGGGCUCAACCUGGGAACGGCAUCCGGAACUGUCAGGCUAGAGUGCAGGAGGGGAAGGGAGAAUUCCCGGUGGAGCGGUGAAAUGCGUAGAGAACGGGAGGAAUACCAGUGGCGAAGGCGGCCUUCUGGACCGAAACUGACGCUGAGGUGCGAAAGCGUGGGUAGCAAACAGGAUUAGAUACCCGUGUAGUC
rnacentral:rRNA from 1 species